rnacentral:rRNA from 1 species
GUCCACGCCGUAAACGAUGGAUGCUAGCUGUUACCCGUAUCGACCCGGGUAGUAGCGAAGCUAACGCGUUAAGCAUCCCGCCUGUGGAGUACGAGCGCAAGCUUAAAACAUAAAGGAAUUGACGGGGACCCGCACAAGCGGUGGAGUGUGUUCUUUAAUUCGAUGGUAAGCGAAGAACCUUACCCAGGUUUGACAUCCUUGGAAUCACUUCGAAAGAAGAGAGUGCUUUAUUGAGCCAAGUGACAGGUGUUGCAUGGCCGUCGU